UAGUAUUCCUCGAAACCGGUACUGAAAGAGAAACACAAUUUAUGUAGAACCGAUAAAACAUCGGUGUAACUUCAGACAAGGUAGUCACAGAGUAGCAGUGUGGCAAUGGUUCGACAAGACCUUCACACGUGAAGUAUUUUGUGCAGAGAUGACAUGGCUGGUUUUGGUGAAUGUCCUUGGCUUGAAAUUGUAGAAAGCAUUGAAAAUAUUGAUGAUGAAAACACAUGGAGCCCUCUCCUGCAGUGAUGAGAGUUCAUGUCUCUGUGACGAGCAUUUUAGGAGUAUCAUAACUGUUCCCAGGAGACAAGAGAAUGGAGUCUGUAAAUGUUGUUUUCCUUUCCUUCCUUUUUCUUUUACUUUGCUGUAGUGGCGUAGAUGGAAGCCAUCAGCUGUGGGGGGGCGUAGCUGAUGUCCCCUUCUCUCAUCCCGAUGAGUUUUUCCCCUUUGAAGGUCGUCCUGACAUGUUACAGCAGCAUGAUUGCUAUACAUUCAUUGUCAGCGUACUGGGGAACUUUGCUAGUGACCUGCUAGGUGGACUGGUGAGAUUGAAGUAUUUUGUCCUGUGGAUGGAAUACACUGAUUCCCUGUCCGACCUUGGCAGGGACCUGUCCUACAGUUUGGAUUCUCUUCUAAGCAGAGUUGAGACGAAAGUCAAGGUGGGCUUUGCUUUAAGCAAACACCAAAAUGGCCCACAUGCUAGCGCUUGGAGAUGGCAUGAAUGUUGCAAAAGCAGGGAGAUGUUCUGUAGAAAAUGUUGCCCAGGCAACAUCAGGAGCUGUGGUUCAGCAAAGAAUGGAAGAAGCUCUAGAGCAGCAGCAGUACGUUUGAGGAGAAGAACCAACAUUGGUUGUAAAAAGACUUCCUUUUCCAAAGACGAGGAUAUUUUGUCGUCAGCUGAAAAUCCUGAACCCUUGCAUCGCCCAAAGCCAGGGAAUUUUUCUGGACCCAAUUCCUAUAGGGAGAUGUGUUAUUUGACCUAUGAUUCACCUGAAAAGCAGAUUUGUUGUGGAGGUGUGCUCUUCAAUCAUAGAAAGUCUGUCUUCCGAGAGAAUCAUGAAGACGAUGUCCUAGCGCCACAGUGUUGUCACGGUAUUGGUUCUUUGCCAGGAGCCAAAGCUAUUGGUGAACUGCAGAGUCCACCUGAGGUCGAACCCUGUGAAUGGACACAGCAAAGUAAAACUCUUCCUGCUUGUUUCAAAUAUAUUUGGGACUUAAACAAGGGCAACGCUUCUUGCUGGAUCGAUGACCUGUCUUUAGAAUAUCCUCGUCUGCUUCCCUCCUCUGAGACCGGCCAGUUGGGUUUUCACAGAUGUACAAACGACCCAGACUCUCAUCUGCAUCUUUCUUGUGGGAGAGCAAUAUGCUGUAGUAGAGAAAAACGGUUUUGUUGCACAAAGUCCAGAUGGCCUGACGAAGCGUUUUCCCCUGUGAACAGAGUAAUAAGUGAAUCUGACAAAAUCAAUUCUACUCUCCUGAUGGGAAAUAUUUUCCCAAGUAAUGGGUCUUCUAUUCCAUCUAUUGAGUUAGGAACAUGCGCUGGCAAUAUGAUAUCUUUUGUAGAUAGUCCUUCUAGGAAAGCUAGAUGCUGGCUGAAAGAGAAACAGUUUUGUGAAAUCAAGUUGAAGGGUGUCAACAGCUCGGUAUUGAUUUGUCCUGAAUCAGACCAAUUCUUUUUCGGCUUACAUGCAGGGUAUGUUUAUGUAGUUGUAGCUUCAUGCCUACAAGCAUUCCUCUGUCUGUUUGCCGCUUCUGUUUGGAUAAAAGGAAUCUUGCCUCUGGUAAUGAAUUCGCCAGUUUUGCGAAAGAACAUAUUACAUGCAUGCAAGACACUGAAUUUCAACGCUCAAUGCCUGCCCUCUGUUGAUGAAUCCAGUACAGAGUAUUUUGAUGGUUUUGUGUGUUAUGAUUACAGCUUUGAUGUGCAAAGUUUGGCUGCUAAGGAUUACCUCAAAUGCUCAAAGGGUGACUUCCUUUAUGAGGUUUUGUACAAUUCACACCGUACUACUCCUGUGGUACAAAAGGAGUAUUUUGUGAACCCAGUAUUUGCCGUCGACCGUGUAGCUUCAUUCCACCCACUGUUAAGCGACCGUUCUGAGCUCGGUGGUGACUUAAAGUUCUUCAUUCCCUUGUCAGCAGCAGGGUUCAGGUACAUUAAGGAAAGCUCUCUGGUCUCCUGCGAUGGAUGUGGUGCCAGGCAUGAAAUGAGCGAGCUCACGUCUGCACCCUCCCACCCUCGCUACCAUACCCCAGCAGGAUGCUGCUUUGCCAGCAAGGAGAGUGGUACCCUGCCGGACUUGCCGAAACGUCCCAUCACGUUGGGCCCUCUAGCCAUUUCUGCCACAGCCUCAGCAACUAAUGCAACGGACCAUAAUGAGGAUCCUCUCAUUGAUGAAGGUCUUGGGUUGGAUGACAUACAGGAAGACGGUGCUCCGUCUGCUGCACAAAGUAGUGGGCAUGCAAGUGGUGGCACCACAGGGGCUAUUCCAUCUGCUAAGCCAUUGCCAUCUUCAUCUUCGGUCUCAUCAGCUAAGACAACAUCAUUAUCAUCAACAACAUCAUCAUCAUCAUCGUCAGCAUCAUUAUCAAUGUCAGCAUCAUCACCCUCAGCCUCAGCCUCAGUUUCAGCAUCACUGACUUCAGCUUCUCAUGCAGUGGCCGGACAAGGACAUGACUAUGAGUCGCAGUUUGGUCAGACAGCGGAGAGGCAACUUCUCCAGCGCAGCCGAAGUGUGUCGAAAAGCAGCUCGGCGUCCUCGGGCUACAGCUCGGCAUCCUCGGGCUACGGCUCGGAACCUGACAUACAGGACAAAGUCUAUCAAGAUUGGGCUAACAAUAUGAUCCGACCAGAGGCUUUGGAGACGAAGAAGAUGACACACCUGGAGUGUGUGAGAGACACCAGCUGCGACAGAAAUGACCAUUUUGGCUACAUCAUGGCCCAGAAACUGCAGUUAGUACAUCUGCCUGACGCAGUGAAAAGCCUGGAGGUGAUCACUCUGCUCCGCCUCUUCUACAAGCUGGUGGUGCGCGUGGUCGUCAAGACUUCACGUGCGAGGAGCACUGGCGGUUUCAUCAUUGGUUCCGGAUAUGUUUUCUUGUGGGGGGAGAGUUCCAAUGGGGACACUGAGUCGCGGCCCCAGAAUGGAGCCUCCUCUUUCAAGUGGCUGAAGAAGCAUGUGCCCUCUGCUUUACGGAAACUUCCCGGGGAUGUAUCGAGGAUAUACAUCCAGACUCACAGGCAUGUGGUGCAAAACAACAAAGAAGCUUCUGAUACCAAAGUGGAGUUCCAGUUCUUCCAUGGAAGUCGUAAGAACGUCAUCUCCAUCUCUGGCGAAGAAGUGCUGCACAGCAAAGUACCGGGGGACGACACCUCUAUUUUGGUGUGUCGAACACGCGAUGUGCAGCUGUGUGUGAAUGUGAACAGGUGGCGACAAGAGUUUUUGGAUUAUGCUGCAAAUUUGCCGGCACAUGAUAAAGAGGCGAUGAUGAGGACUGUUCUGACCGUCUCCCACCCUCACGGUGCCCCCAUGGUUGUGUCCCAUGGUAUAGCAGACGAGAGGCUGUACACAACAGAAGAAAUGCCAGAUGGACGCUCAAGAGUCGUACAAAUUCCUGCAGAAAGAGCAUUGUCAAGCUCUGGCAUGGUGUGGAAGAUUUUGGCUUACACGGCGUGCACAUGUGAGGGAAGCAGUGGGGCUGCGAUUCUCCGCUACCAAAAGACGGGCGUGGAUGCUGGAGGCAGGGACAUUCUGGAGCUUGGAGUGUGGAUGCACAGUGGAGUCGACAAGAACGGAUGUGGGGUUUCUGUUCUCAAAGGUAUCGAAGUGCGGCGUUCUCAGGAUUUUCUUGCCUAGUUGUCCUCCUCUGAGCAUAGUCUCCGUGCGCACGAUGCACAGGAUCCCAGUAGGCUUCUCUUCCUGUAUCGGGGAACAUAAGCCGGAAGUUUUCCCCCCAUUGUCAAAACUUACGAAUUUUUUUACUCAGCUGUACCUACACCUGUGUGGUGUGUUGUGGAGAAGGCAGAGGUAGGGAAAUAACCCACAGUCAUGCUCAGAUAACUUGAACCCGAAAAAUGUGAAUUCACGAGUAGUUCAAACUAUAUGCCUUUCUCUGAGUGAACUGCUAUAAUUUCUUUAUAUCGGAAAAACUUGUUUUCUCGAACACUCACACGGAUGUGUUCUACAGAGUUGAAUUCUCGCACAUAUGAAAAGUCUGCCAAGCUUCAGAUUUCGAAAUUCUCCGUCAAAGACUGAUCAGUGAGAGGAAC
rnacentral:misc_RNA from 1 species